rnacentral:rRNA from 1 species
CAAUAGCGUAUAUUAAAGUUGUUGCAGUUAAAAAGCUCGUAGUUGGAUUUGUGGCGUACGGUGUGUUCCGGGCACUUGUUGUCUGAGUAACCUGCUGUUGCCAUCCUUGGGUGGAACCUGUGUGGCAUUAGGUUGUCGUGCAGGGGAUGCCCAUCAUUUACUGUGAAAAAAUUAGAGUGUUCAAAGCAGGCUUAUGCCGUUGAAUAUAUUAGCAUGGAAUAAUGAGAUAGGACUUUUUUGCUAUUUUGUUGGUUUGCGCAAGAAGGUAAUGAUUUAUAGGGACAGUUGGGGGUAUUCGUAUUCCAUUGUCAGAGGUGAAAUUCUUGGAUUUUUGGAAGACGAACUACUGCGAAAGCAUUUACCAAGGAUGUUUUCAUUAA